GCCCCCGUAGCUCAGCGGAUAGAGCACUGGUCUCCGGAACCAGAGGCAGAGGUUCGAUUCCUCUCGGGGGUA
rnacentral:tRNA from 1 species